rnacentral:rRNA from 1 species
GACGAACGCUGGCGGCGUGCUUAACACAUGCAAGUCGAACGGAAAGGCCCUGCUUUUGUGGGGUGCUCGAGUGGCGAACGGGUGAGUAACACGUGAGUAACCUGCCCUUGACUUUGGGAUAACUUCAGGAAACUGGGGCUAAUACCGGAUAGGAGCUCCUGCUGCAUGGUGGGGGUUGGAAAGUUUCGGCGGUUGGGGAUGGACUCGCGGCUUAUCAGCUUGUUGGUGGGGUAGUGGCUUACCAAGGCUUUGACGGGUAGCCGGCCUGAGAGGGUGACCGGCCACAUUGGGACUGAGAUACGGCCCAGACUCCUACGGGAGGCAGCAGUGGGGAAUAUUGCACAAUGGGCGGAAGCCUGAUGCAGCAACGCCGCGUGCGGAAUGACGGCCUUCGGGUUGUAAACCGCUUUCGCCUGUGAUGAAGCGUGAGUGACGGUAAUGGGUAAAGAAGCACCGGCUAACUACGUG